GUUUAUAUGUGUCGCUAAAACAUAUACUAAAAUUGGAACGAUACAGAGAAGAUUAGCACGGCCCCUGUUCAAGUGUUUUCAACAAAAAAAGUUAAGAGUGACUGAAACUU
rnacentral:snRNA from 1 species